rnacentral:rRNA from 1 species
UACGUAGGGGGCAAGCGUUGUCCGGAAUUAUUGGGCGUAAAGAGCGUGUAGGCGGCCAGAUAAGUCCGCUGUGAAAUCUCGAGGCUCAACUUCGAGCUGUCGGUGGAAACUAUCUGGCUAGAGUCCGGAAGAGGAAAAUGGAAUUCCUGGUGUAGCGGUGAAAUGCGCAGAUAUCAGGAAGAACACCCGUGGCGAAGGCGGUUCUCUGGGACGGUACUGACGCUGAGACGCGAAAGCGUGGGGAGCGAACAGG